rnacentral:rRNA from 1 species
CGUGUAGGCGGUUUAUCAAGCCUGAUGUGAAAGACCCCGGCUUAACCGGGGGAACGCGUUGGGAACUGAUAGACUAGAGUGUAAGAGGGGUAGUUGGAAUUCCAGGUGUAGGGGUGAAAUCUGUAGAUAUCUGGAAGAACACCGGUGGCGAAGGCGAACUACUGGCUAUACACUGACGCUGAGGCGCGAAAGUGUGGGGAGCGAACA